ACGAACGCUGGCGGCGUGCUUAACACAUGCAAGUCGAACGGUGAAGCGCCUUCCUUUUUGGUGGGUGUGGAUGAGUGGCGAACGGGUGAGUAACACGUGAGUAACCUGCCCCCUUCUUCUGGAUAACCGCAUGAAAGUGUGGCUAAUACGGGAUAUUCUGGGUCUGUCGCAUGAUGGGUCUGGGAAAGAUAUUGUUUCGGUGGGGGAUGGGCUCGCGGCCUAUCAGCCUGUUGGUGGGGUGAUGGCCUACCAAGGCGGUGACGGGUAGCCGGCCUGAGAGGGUGGACGGUCACACUGGGACUGAGACACGGCCCAGACUCCUACGGGAGGCAGCAGUGGGGAAUAUUGCACAAUGGGCGCAAGCCUGAUGCAGCGACGCCGCGUGAGGGAUGGAGGCCUUCGGGUUGUGAACCUCUUUCGCCAGUGAAGCAGGCCUGCCUCGUUUGUGGGUGGGUUGACGGUAGCUGGAUAAGAAGCGCCGGCUAACUACGUG
rnacentral:rRNA from 1 species